rnacentral:lncRNA from 1 species
GUAGAUUAAUCUACAGGUUCAUUUAAAUUUGCUGGCGUAACAGUUGACAAAUCACGCGAUUUAGAGUAGGCUACGAGCAUUUCGCUGCGCGAGGCGCUGGGAGGCAAGAGCAGCAGACUGGAGCCAGACAGUCCGUGUGCUAGAAGCAGUUGGCAAUAUUCGGACGCUUAUCCAGAGAAGAAUUUGGCUACACAUCUACAUCUGUGUUCAAGAGAUGGAUGCCCAGGCCAGUCCUGCAAUGGUGAUAGGCUUGGGAAGACUCCAGCUGUGAUGCAGCAGCAACAGCAGCAGCAACAGCCCUCUGCUGAUCCGGAAGGGGUGGGGUAACUGCUGCAGCCAACUGACGGAGACCAGUCCAGAUCACGUCUAGCCUGCGCUACCAUCACUGUGGAUCAUCAUCAUGGAGAGUCAGUGGCAUCUGUUUGACCCUUGGGGUCACGAUGACCGGGCCCUGAUUGGCUCUGAGACAAAGCAGGGACAGUGUUGAAGACUCACUCCAGAGAAAAUAGAACGAGAGCGAGAGAUUUGAAAACUAUAGCACAGUCAAUCUCUCCAAUACAGUGCUGUAUCACUGGAACGCAUUUUAUUUUUGUUUAAGUAAAUUGAGGGUUGAAUUUUAAUUUCCCCCCAAAAUGAAAGCACAGACUCCUAUCUGGGACUGAUAGUAGUACCAUAAUGCAUGGAUAAGUAUCUGCAUAAGUAUCACAACAUCGAGAGCUCUGAGCCCUCACAUUUUAAAUCAUCCUAGUUGGUGCCAGUCUAUCCACCCAUAGAUAUCUGAAUACAUUCACACCAUAUACUCUUUUACUCUGAGACUUUCACAUUGCACAGGUGGACUAUGGAGCAAGUCUGAUCACUAUAAACAGUCAAACAGAGAGCCACUCUAGUGUUGCGUGACUCGGAUCCUGUUUGGUUUGUGUCAUGGAGUCUGAGGAGAGCCUGGGGCUGUCGACUGCAGCUGUGGUGGCCAUCACCUGCAAUGCCCUGGUGGCCAUCCUCCUCCUCGUCCUCUUCCUCAUUCUCUACAAGGCCUGCAAGGUGCCCUCCAGCCAGGAGAGGGUGCCUGUGCUGGCGGUUCCUACUGGGCAGACGCAACAGAGCAGCGAACACAAGUACUUGCUGACCUCAUGACUGGCAGCAAGAGAGAGAGAGUGAGCACCACAGUGUAUACAUAGGGCUCAGGGAGGUACUGUAUAGUAGAGGAGUAGACUGAUCCCAGAUGUGUUUAUUAGGGCCGGGACAAUAUGAGUAUCGCGAUACUAGUUAGUAUUGUGGCAAGGAAACAAAGCACGAAGCGAAUGUCACUUCUGUUAGAAAACCGCCCUAAUAUUGGAAACAAACAUCAUUAUGUUGUCAUCCAGAGCCAUAUUUAUUUAUUAUCCAAGCUAUAGCACACAAUAUUUUACGUAUAGCAGGUUUUUAAAGGACCACAGAGUUUGGUCUGCUUCGUGUUUUCAUUUUUGCCAUUGCAAACAUAUUGCGAUACCGGUAUCAUCCCGGCCCUACUGUUUAUACUGCCUUGCCAGGCUAGUAGGAAGGGCCAGAAGACAAGGAUCCGUCUUUGAAGACAAGGACCUCUCAUAACAAGGAUCAAAGUAUCACUGUUCCUCUGACAACCAGCAGCUGAAUGAAUGGAACAACCUGUAACAGUUUAUUAUGGGACAAGUUGCCAUUAUAAACUUUACUUUUAUAUUGUGUCCUAUGAUAUUCCUGGUCCCCGUUGGAACGGACAUACAUGAAGGAAUGCAGGCAUGAAUGUGUUGCACACACACGCACGCACACAUGGUCUACCAAUAGGUUUGGUUCAUUCAUGGAGUCAGAGAGGCUAGAAUGUUGAGUGUCUGAGGACAGGACUGAUCCGUUCUCCGAGGCUUCUAAAUUUAGCUUCUCAUUUCAGACACAUUUUCUCGGGAAGAAAAGCAAGCCUGUGUGUAUCGGCGGUAACCACGGCAGUCUGUGUGGAGUUUGUGUCAUGGUCACUCAUGCAUAGGAGAGGCCUGUAUUUGAAGCAUAGUGAGUGUUAUGUAUGGAGCUGAGAGGCUUUGCUCGCUUUGUCCUCUUAAAUGUGGUCCUCAGUACUAUCUUGCUUUGGCACAUUGUCAAAGACAGCCCACACAUUUUAGUGGGAGAGCACUCCUACAAUUCCCAGCCUAGCCAAGGCAUUAUACAUAUUGUGAUGGAUAUGAAAAGACACUAUUAGAAAAUCCCCGAAAGUGAACUUGAAUAAUGUGAAGUAAAUGAAUCACAGUAAGGGGGCGAGGGCCCUGUACACAUGCUCUGACAUCAAAGGGCUUGAGGGCCAGGCUACUGGUUGAAGUAGCAGAGUUAUGGGUGCUUGCUUUUGAUUUGAUUUGAGCCAUAGUCAGUCAGUAUAGUGGUGGCCACUUCAGUGAAGGGCAAGAUCAUUAAGAAAGAGCAAUGGGCAACUUUAGAAAACAUAGGCGAAAUAAUGAGUGGAGUGGCUCACAUUCAAGUUCUUCCCGUUGGUGUGUGCAAAUAAUGGCCAUUUCAAAAGUUUAAUUCAAUAUUGAAUGGUUGCUAAGUGUUCAACCAAAGCAUCAUAACUGUAAUAAAUGUUUGGUUUGUUUAUUGCUGAGCCCUAAGAGCAGACAAUGGAUAUUAUGUGACUUGUUCUGGCGAGGACAAUAGCAACUCUUUCUCUUCACAACAGAGAGAACAUGAAAUGAUGAAUACUUUAAUAAAUAUUUCCAAACAAACUGAAUAACAAUUUUUCUCCAAAAAAUAAAUUCACCUAAAAGCUGUGGAUCUGCUGCAUCAGGUAAAGGAGACUUUGCUGGUUGCAUACUGACUAUUUUACAGUUGUGUAUAUGUUUAGUAUAGUGCACAGUGCUGAGAAAGACAGUAGGGUAGAUAGCACAUAGAUUCAAUAGACUGUACAGUACCAGUACUUAAACUUGGGAACAGUAGCUUUACAGUAUGUAGCUUUAGAAGACAGAAGUAAUAAGGCAUGAGUGGUGGUGGGUUUAUAGCUGGAAUGCAGUAGUAAAAACAGUGGGAG